GCCCCUUCAGGAACAUCCAAAAUAGUUGUGACGAUCCAGAGAAGAUUAGCAUGAGCCUAUGAAUGGAUGACACUACAAAUCAAGAAAUGGUCCAAAUCACA